CAGGUUGAGCCGUAAUGGAGGACUGUGGAAGAACAGGUUGAGCCGUAAUGGAGGACUGUGGAAGAACAGGUUGAGCCAUAAUGGAGGACUGUGGAAGGACAGGUUGAGCCGUAAUGGAGGACUGUGGAAGGACAGGUUGAGCCGUAAUGGAGGACUGUGGAAGGACAGGUUGAGCCGUAAUGGAGGACUGUGGAAGAACAGGUUGAGCCGUAAUGGAGGACUGUGGAAGAACAGGUUGAGCCAUGAUGGAGGACUGUGGAAGAACAGGUUGAGCCGUAAUGGAGGACGAGGGACCGGAGUCCUGAGCUGGAACAAGAGACUGAGGAGUCCCGUCCAUGAUAAUGGGAGCUCCACUAUAGAGACACAAACAGUGAGGGAAUGAGCCUUGUUGUCUGUUGACACAACGAGAGGCAACAAACAAUGAUAGCACAACAUCAAAUAUUAAAUCAGAAAUUGUUUUGUAUCAUAAAAAUGUGUUUGUUUUUUUUAUAUACGAAAGGGGACUCCGAUCUAUCCAAAAUUAAACCAACUUCACCACAUUCAGCCUACAACUUGAAGCCUACCAACUACCUUCAUAAUGUUAACAAAAAUAAGACUCUGAUGUAGGCUACAAUUGACUGUAGAAAUUACAGUAAAUGAACUGCAAAAAAGUUGCCAGUAAAAGUAUGGUAAAACAACAGUGAUUUACUGCAAAUUAGAAUUAAAACAUUCAUUGCUGUAGAUGUACUACAAUAACUUACUGUUUAUAAAUAACAGACAUUUGCUAUAGAUGUACUACAAUAACUUACUCAUUCUCUAUUUCCUUUGAGAAUGAACACAUUUCUG
ensembl:lncRNA